rnacentral:rRNA from 1 species
AAUGAACGCUGGCGGCAUGCCUAAUACAUGCAAGUCGAACGAGACCUUCGGGUCUUGUGGCGUACGGGUGCGUAACGCGAGGGAACCUGCCCUUAGGUUUGGAAUACCUCUACGAAAGGGGUGCUAAUACCGGAUAAUGUCUUCGGACCAAAGAUUUAUCGCCUUUGGAUGGGCCCGCGUUGGAUUAGCUUGUUGGUAGGGUAAAAGCCUACCAAGGCGACGAUCCAUAGCUGGUCUGAGAGGAUGAUCAGCCACACUGGGACUAGGACACGGCCCAGACUCCUACGGGAGGCAGCAGUGGGGAAUAUUGGACAAUGGGCGAAAGCCUGAUCCAGCAAUGCCGCGUGAAUGAUGAAAGCCUUAGAGUUGUAAAGCUCUUUUACCCAGGAUGAUAAUGACAGUACCGGGAGAAUAAGCUCCGGCUAACUCCGUG